UUAUGAAAACAUAUUCCAAUAUUUAAUAUUCUAACACAUUAAUUUCUGCAUUUGUAAGUUGUGAUAUUCAUUCAUUCAUUCAAAACACACAAUUUCCGAUACAUUUCCAUUCAUGCACUGUGACUAGAAGAGCUAGACAUUCGUAUUAUGGCAGCGAUUGGUUGAAUGAGGACAAGAUAUGGUCGGUUGUUGCAACACGAGUUUCGAUUGGAUAUUAACGUACAAAUGAUAAUCUACGUAACGAGAAACAGUCUACAGUCUACGUAUCGACCAAAACAUCCAACCCGGACAAUUUGUUUUGCUGAUAAGUAUGUGUAUUUUCGGGAUUCCCUACUCAAUUUUAAAUCACGAUAUAUUUCACUGGAUUCUACACUGGAAAUUCAUUAGGCGGAAAUUGUCUCAGAAAUAUAAAUGCUUAUUCAUCCAUGAACAUCGGGAAGUUUAAAAGGAAUGUUCCUUGUGGUGCACAGCGACUGGUUUAUCGGAAGAAUGUAGUAGUCCAAUUCACAAUGGAACGCAUUUUUAUCCGGAAUUAUUGAUUUACUGCAACAGACAGGAGGAAAGCUUCCAUUGUAGUUGGUGAUGUCAACAGAUGUAUCUUCGUCACAACAGCAAUGACAAAGUAAGAUGCGUCGUCUAACUUACCUAUACAGCACUUGACAAUCUGGCCGUCUUGGAUGAGGUCAGACAGCUUGGAAUCACAGCACAUUUCCCGAUCCAGAUACUGAUUGCGAAAUGAAGAAGAUUGUCUCUUCAACAUGCGUCAUUGUAACCAACGAUAACAAACUGACUGAAGGCGUGGUGCUAAACAGGACACGAGUGAAGUGAAAGAGAAAGUAGAAUUUCCAUCUCUUAUACACCAUGUGCUGUAUGGCAUUAAAUUCUUCACAGUUGCUCACA